rnacentral:rRNA from 1 species
UGGGGAAUAUUGCACAAUGGGCGCAAGCCUGAUGCAGCCAUGCCGCGUGUGUGAAGAAGGCCUUCGGGUUGUAAAGCACUUUCAGCGAGGAGGAAGGCAUAAAGGUUAAUAACCUUUGUGAUUGACGUUACUCGCAGAAGAAGCACCGGCUAACUCCGUGCCAGCAGCCGCGGUAAUACGGAGGGUGCAAGCGUUAAUAGGAAUUACUGGGCGUAAAGCGCACGCAGGCGGUUUGUUAAGUCAGAUGUGAAAUCCCCGCGCUUAACGUGGGAACUGCAUUUGAAACUGGCAAGCUAGAGUCUUGUAGAGGGGGGUAGAAUUCCAGGUGUAGCGGUGAAAUGCGUAGAGAUCUGGAGGAAUACCGGUGGCGAAGGCGGCCCCCUGGACAAAGACUGACGCUCAGGUGCGAAAGCGUGGGGAGCAAACA